rnacentral:rRNA from 1 species
GAUCAUGGCUCAGGAUGAACGCUAGCUACAGGCUUAACACAUGCAAGUCGAGGGGCAGCAUGGGGGUUGCUCGCAACCCCUGAUGGCGACCGGCGCACGGGUGAGUAACGCGUAUCCGACCUUCCCGCGGCAGGGGCAUAACCCGGUGAAAGCCGGACUAAUUCCCCGUGGUCCCCACACAGGCCAUCCUUCGUGGGGUAUAGGACUCGUCCGGCCGCGGACGGGGAUGCGUCCGAUUAGCUAGUUGGCGGGGUAACGG